ACCAGUGAGACGGCUAGGGCUCGGUCUCUCUCUCUUGCCGCCGCCGCGGCCGCCGCCAGCCACCCCAGCCUCCUCCCUUUCCGUCGGCCACCCUCCCGCACCGCCAGGAUCUCUCCGCGAGGAAAGGAUCUCCAGGAGGAGCACGGGCCUCUGCUGCGCCCUUUCUCUUCCUCUGCCUCGCCGUAUUUGGCCCUCUCGCAGGGUUGUGCUGAUAGGAAGGCUAGAACUGAAGAUGUGGUGGUUGGCAUUUUACAUGCACGCGGUUGAGCAUGUCACUGCAAUAUUUCUGUCUGCAUGUGAAGCACUUUGACCAAUUGGUCAUAGUUGACAACAUGGUUCAGAGAUGCACCAGUUAAACCUUUUGGGCACACUAUAGUUUCAGUACUACAUUACGAGGGCAAGAUAGUAUUCAGAGUGAGGAGACCAAGAUUGUGUUCUCUUGUUGUUAUGUAGGUUUUUUUUGUAAAACUUGCACUAUCAUCCUACGGUGCCAACCACCACAGCCAUGCUCCUCGAAAGUGUCCAUCAUAAAGCGGAUGCAUAUAACCAUAUUGGGCUGCUUCAAACGGAUCAAGAUGGUGCCUCCGGGACCGCAUUUCACCCACUACUGCCCCCCAGCAGUGCUAGGAGGGCUUGUGUGUGUGCCUCUAUCUGCCUGCUCGCUUGCCUAAUUCGGGGCAUGUCGUCACCUCUCCACUGCAUCGUCUUCGUCGUUCUCCGCUUGCCAUCUCGCCAUGCCUCUCAUCCCUGCUGCUGCUGCGUACGGUUAAGGAUCGCUGGUUGUGCUCUCGUUUGGUCGGUUUCCUACUUCAUCUUCCGCUGUGCCGCUGCUCAUUCUUCUGGUGCCAAGGGUAGGUGCCUUUGGUGAAGUGAAGAAAUAAGAAGAGUUAUGUUAUGUGUGAGAAAAUCCAUGAAGACUCAGAGGCCCCUGUUCCUGUUAGUGUGAAGAGCUACAGGAGCAGCAUGUGAUGAGAAAAUGCGGACGCCAGUAAUCCAUGAAGAUAUACUCCUGUACAGGGGAGACAUUAGGCCGGUGAAGCAGUAUGAUGAUGGGGACUGAUGUCUGUUCUUUGCGGAUGCUGUGACUGCCCCGGUACGAGAGCGGCGACGAAGAGCUCACCGUGCUUCCCAGGCACACCAAGGUCGGUGUCACCGGUAACAACCGUAUAAAGUCCGUGCUGGUCCGCCUACAGGGUGUUGUCAAGAAGGCUGUUGGCCUUGGAGUCUGGCACUGGCUGGUUCUGAAGAAUUGUGUGGAGGUGAAGUUGCAGAGGAACGCCCUGAGUGUCUUGGAAGCUCCAACUGGCAACGAGGACGACGACGAGAUCGAUGGCAGCAACAACUCGUUCUGCGGCUGCUUCGACAUGGGAGAUAAAGAUAUGAACUACUCGAGCAUCGAGUACCAGAAGCCAACAAAGCCAAGGGUCUGGCACACGAGACCAUGGUCUUCCUGCACGACGAAGUCCAGCAGCCGGGCCAAUCUUGAGCUGAUUUUGGCAACUUUUGGGUUCAUGGGAGACGACAUCAGGCCAGUGAAGCAGUAUGAUGAUGGGGACCGAUGUCUGUUCUUCGCGGAUGCUGUCGCUGCCCCGUUACGAGAGCGGCGACGAGGAGCUGACCGUGCUUCCCAGGCACACCAAGGUCGUCGUCCCCGGUAACAACCGAACAAAGUCCGUGCUGGUCCUCCUACAGGGUGUGGUCAAGAAGGCUGUUAGCCUUGGAGGCUGGCACUGGCUGAAAAGCAGAUUCUGAAGAAUGGUGUGGAGGUGAAGUCGCAGAGGAAUGCCCUGAGUGUCUUGGAAGCUCCAACUGGCAACGAGGACGACGAUGAGAUCGAUGGCGGCAACGGUUCGUUCUGCGGCAGCUUUGACAUGGGAGACAAAGACAUGAACUACUCAAGCAUCGAGUACC